rnacentral:tRNA from 1 species
ACUCAACCGGGCUAAGCGUAGGACUCGCACCCGAGAGGUCGUGGGUUCGAUUCCCGGAGU